ACCGUGGAAAGGUAGCAUAAUCAUCUAUCUUUUUUAUUGAAGGGUGGAAUGAAUGGUUGGAUGAAAUAUUAACUGUUUCAUUUAAAAUUUUUAUAGAAUUUUAUUUUUUAGUUAAAAAGCUAAAAUUUUAUUAAAAGACGAGAAGACCCUAUAAAUCUUUAUAUUUUUUAUAUAUUAAUUAUUUAGAUAUAUUAAAUUAUUAUAGUAUAAAAUAUUUUAUUGGGGUGAUAUUAAAAUUUAAAAAACUUUUAAUUUUUAUUAAACAUAAAUUUAUGAAUAAAUGAUCCAUUAUUAAUGAUUAAAAAUUUAAGUUACUUUAGGGAUAACAGCGUAAUUUUUUUGG
rnacentral:rRNA from 1 species